GACGAACGCUGGCGGCGUGCUUAACACAUGCAAGUCGAGCGGAAAGGCCCUUCGGGGUACUCGAGCGGCGAACGGGUGAGUAACACGUGAGUAACCUGCCCUUGGCUUUGGGAUAACCCUCGGAAACGGGGGCUAAUACCGGAUAUUCACUUUCCUUGGCAUCAGGGUUGGUGGAAAGUUUUUCGGCCAGGGAUGGGCUCGCGGCCUAUCAGCUUGUUGGUGGGGUAAUGGCCUACCAAGGCGACGACGGGUAGCCGGCCUGAGAGGGCGACCGGCCACACUGGGACUGAGACACGGCCCAGACUCCUACGGGAGGCAGCAGUGGGGAAUAUUGCACAAUGGGCGAAAGCCUGAUGCAGCGACGCCGCGUGAGGGAUGACGGCU
rnacentral:rRNA from 1 species